GGACUUAGAAGUCACUCUGAUCACCUGACUGACCGUGAGUCCCACUGUAAGGCUUUCCUAGUCUCCCCUUGCCAUCCUUCCUAUCUACAUUUAUGGACGCAUUUCGCUCCCUGCCUCGACUCUGGUCCCCCCAGAGCUUCCUAGAGUCUUGCCCUGCCAGCACAGAACUCGCCACUUGGGAGAGGGCGCCCACCCUGGGGCGCGUUGCGUGAAAGCCUGGCAGCUACACCUCGCUUCUUCCUCCUCCUGCCCUCAGCCGCGGACCUUCACGCCACAUCCCCGCGCACCCGGCGACUCGGGUCGUCCCUGGCCUCGCGGGCCCCACCCCUCCCCAGGUCUACCCCGCGAUCGGGCGGGAGACAAGUUGAAUGGGAAGAUGGAGAUGGAUGUUGAGGGAGUUUCUCCGCGCCCGGAGCCCAUCCCCCGCUCCCAGGGGGCCGGCGGAGCCUGCCAGGCGCCGCCGCCGCGGACCCAGCCCCAGCCGCAGCGAGAGCAGCCGCGGGCUCAGGAUGAACUGCCCGGCGAGAGUGCAGGCGCUGGGGACGGCGAAGAUCCCGAGACGAGGUCCAGCGGCGAGAGAGGCGAGAGCAAGUAUUUCAGUGACAGGAUCCACUCGGGAGAGUUGGGGCAAGGCUGGCUGAGGUGCUCAAGGAGCUGA
rnacentral:lncRNA from 1 species